GAUAAACGCUGACAGAAUGCUUAACACAUGCAAGUCGAUGAUGGGAGCUAGCUUGCUAGAAGAAGUCAUGGCGGACGGGUGAGUAACGUGUAAAGAACUUACCAUAUAGACUGGGAUAACAGAGGGAAACUUCUGAUAAUACUGGAUAAGUUAGUAGUAGCAUUACUAAGUAAUGAAAGGUAGCAAUACGCUAUAUGAGAGCUUUGCAUCCUAUUAGCUAGUUGGUGGGGUAAAAGCCUACCAAGGCGAUGAUAGGUAGCCGGCCUGAGAGGGUGGACAGCCACAAGGGGACUGAGAUACGGCCCUUACGCCUACGGGAGGCAGCAGUGGGGAAUAUUGGACAAUGGAGGCAACUCUGAUCCAGCAAUUCUGUGUGUGUGAAGAAGGUUUUAGGACUGUAAAACACCUUUAGUAGGGAAGAAAGAAAUGACGGUACCUACAGAAGAAGCGACGGCUAAAUACGUG
rnacentral:rRNA from 1 species